GUGCGAGCCGGGCCGUGAGCGGGCUGGAGCCCGUGCAGGGCACACCGGCAGGCAAACAGGCGCUGCUGUUCCUGUUUUCCAGCCGCAGGGGAAGACCGGGGCUAUUUUUAGCUGCGGAACUUUAUAAUAGAGGUCUUUUAUUGCCAUUCAAGAGCUGUAGCAACCAAGGCACAGAGAUGUUGAGCAAGUUGUCCGAGGUCACAGAGAGGCCGGGUGGCAAAGCAGGAAUGGAAUUGAUCCUCCAUCUUCAAGAGUUGAUGCGUAGGAGCUUGGCCUGAAUUUUAACCACGGAAGCAUGAAAAGUGGCGGAUACCCCACUUUGGGACAUGGUAAGCAGGUACUAGAAGUCUGAAACUUCUUUGGGGAUCUCUGAAUUCUGGGACACCUUCCUAGGGCAGCUGGUCUCAUUCCAGUCAUCUCUCUGCCUAGUGCUCUUUUUCCCACUACAGAACAGGAAGUUUGAGAAGUGACAGGCCACAGGCACAGGCCAGCCCUGCUGAGAAAUCGCCAUCAGGAGCAAACCACAUGUCCUGUGAACUCGGGGACCUGCCAGCAAAAUUCCCUGAUGCUGGAACUUCGGGCAGAGAGCGCCGGUCUUGCGCUGAUUGGCGUCAGGAGCCAAGUGUGGUGGGGGAGGGGAGUCAGCACAUAUUUCUCCGCUGAACUCCGUUUCCCAUUUGGUUUGGCAGCUUGUUUUUCAUGAAAUGAGGCCAAUCCACGAAUUCCGUGUCAACAUCGCUCCUUUUACUGGAACCGCAAAGGCAGCCCCCCGGGACUGGCUCCAUCUCUGGGCAGACAUCAAAACAACCCCUUUUCGCUUUGAAAGCAUAGCAGGCGUCUCAGAGCCCCCCACUUCCUUACCUGUGUUUCCCUCUGAGGAAGAAAGCAAGGACCAGGGCCGUGGCUGCAGUGCCCCGAGCUCACUGUUGGCACAGCAGCCCUGGGCUGGCCACGCUGAGGGUUCUCCUGGCCCUGCUGCCUGUCUUCCCUUUCUUGUGCGUCCAAGGCCCGGAGGCUCCUUCCUGCCUGCUUGUCUCGCUUCCAGGACUAGCUUGAUGAGUAGGCAUGGCCUCCCCAGCCCCUCAGCUGUCACCCUGCCACAGCUGCCCUCCUGCUGCGACCUCAGGGGGUUGCAGAAGGUGCUGUGGCAUCCAAAAUCCACUCCCCAUCAGGGACUAGAGCCGAACUUCCGAGGCCUCCAGGGCUCCUCUGCUCUGGGGAGGGGGCCUCCUCUUAGCUGCUCCAACACCUGCUGCCCAGCGGGGUGGGGCCGGUGUGCAGGUAGGAGCAAGCAGGCACAUUUGGGAAGGAGAAUAAUAGUGGGUAGUGAGUAGCGGACAGUCAGAAGUGGCUUUAUUGGCAACUGGUACGUACUGAUGGGCACGUCAGCAGCAAGGUUCACUGCAUACGAGGUUGUCUGCAUGAGAGAGGAGGUGGGAGAAAGGCUGUCCUGGGGCAUGGGGUGACCUGGCUCCAGGUCACCUUUCUCUAGGAAGGUCCUGCUCUGUGUCCUCUCGACACCCUGUGCUUCUCUUGUGGCUGCAGCCCCUGUCACGGCCUCUGCACGCUCCUGUCUUCCCAGCUGCUGUCUUCCUCCCCAUCUCCUCCCAGGACCCAGCACCCUUGCGCAUAUGGUGAGGUCAGCGACCCCCUCCACUGUGUCAAGUGAGUGAAUGACUACUGGCUGCUCCUUGCAGUGCUGGGGAGACGAUGCAAGGGGCGGUGGGGUUGUCACGGCUCUAUCCCAAGGGGAGGUCCUGAGGCACCAACAGCGUAGCAGUUUUGCAGUGUGCCCGGAGUGUGAGUCUGGGCUCCAUGACUUACUAGCUGUGUGCUGGACAAGCUGUUU
ensembl:lncRNA